ensembl:lncRNA
GAGCGCGUCGCGGCGCCGGCACUGCCGUUAUCCCAUUAUCCCAUUCCCGUUAUCCCAUUCCCGUUAUCCCAUUAUCCCAUUCCCGUUAUCCCAUUAUCCCGUUAUCCCAUUAUCCCGAUAUUCCCAUUAUCCCGAUAUUCCCGUUAUCCCGUUAUUCCCGUACCCGAGUGUGUCCGCAGGUGGCCGCUGAGCGCGUCACGGCGCCGGCACUGCCGUUAUCCCAUUAUCCCAUUCCCGUUAUCCCAUUAUCCCAUUCCUGUUAUCCCAUUCCCAUUAUCCCGAUAUUCCCGUUAUCCUGAUAUUCCCGUUAUCCCAACAUUCCCAUUAUCCCGACAUUCCCAUUUUUCCCGUACCCGAGUGUGUCCGCAGGUGGCCGCUGAGCGCGUCGCAGCACCGGCACUGCCGUUAUCCCAUUAUCCUAUUCCCGUUAUCCCAUUAUCCCGAUAUUCCCGUUAUCCCGAUAUUCCCGCUGUUCCCAUACCCGAGUGUGUCCGCAGGUGGCCGCUGAGCGCGUCGCGGCGCCGGCACUGCCGUUAUCCCAUUAUCCUAUUCCCGUUAUCCCAUUCCCGUUAUCCCAUUCCUGUUAUCCCAUUCCCGUUAUCCCGAUAUUCCCGAUAUUCCCAUUAUCCCGAUAUUCCCGCUGUUCCCGUACCCGAGUGUGUCCGGAGGUGGCCGCUGAGCGCGUCGCGGCGCCGGCACUGCCGUUAUCCCAUUAUCCCAUUCCCGUUAUCCCAUUAUCCCAUUCCCGUUAUCCCAUUAUCCCAUUCCCGUUAUCCCAUUCCCGUUAUCCCAUUAUCCCAUUCCCGUUAUCCCGAUAUUCCCGCUGUUCCCGUACCCGAGUGUGUCCGGAGGUGGCCGCUGAGCGCGUCGCGGCGCCGGCACUGCCGUUAUCCCGUUAUCCCAUUCCCGUUAUCCCAUUAUCCCAUUCCCAUUAUCCCGAUAUUCCCAUUAUCCCGAUAUUCCCGACGUUCCCGUACCCGAGUGUGUCCGCAGGUGGCCGCUGAGCGCGUCGCGGCGCCGGCACUGCCGUUAUCCCAUUAUCCCAUUCCCGUUAUCCCAUUCCUGUUAUCCCAUUCCCGUUAUCCCAUUCCCGUUAUCCCAUUCCCAAUAUCCCAUUAUCCCAACAUUCCCGACAUUCCCGUUAUCCCGAUAUUCCCAACAUUCCGUACCCGAGUGUGUCCGCAGGUGGCCGCUGAGCGCGUCACAGCGCCGGCACUGCCGUUAUCCCAUUAUCCCAUUCCCGUUAUCCCAUUCCCAAUAUCCCAUUAUCCCAACAUUCCCGAUAUUCCCGUUAUCCCGACAUUCCCGAUAUUCCCAUUAUCCCGAUAUUCCCGUUAUCCCGAUAUUCCCGACGUUCCCGUACCCGAGUGUGUCCGGAGGUGGCCGCUGAGCGCGUCGCGGCGCCGGCACUGCCGUUAUCCCAUUAUCCCAUUCCCGUUAUCCCAUUCCCAAUAUCCCAUUAUCCCAUUCCCAUUAUCCCGAUGUUCCCAUUAUCCCGACAUUCCCGAUGUCAUUCCCGUACCCGAGUGUGUCCGCAGGUGGCCGCUGAGCGCAUCACGGCGCCGGCACUGCUGUUAUCCCAUUAUCCCAUUCCCGUUAUCCCAUUCCUGUUAUCCCAUUCCCGUUAUCCCAUUAUCCCAUUCCCGUUAUCCCAUUAUCCCAUUCCCGUUAUCCCAUUAUCCCGACAUUCCCGUUAUCCCAUUAUCCCAUUCCCGUUAUCCCAUUAUCCCAUUCCUGUUAUCCCAUUAUCCCAUUCCUGUUAUCCCAUUAUCCCAUUCCCGUUAUCCCAUUAUCCCAUUCCCGUUAUCCCAUUAUCCCAUUCCCGUUAUCCCAUUCCCGUUAUCCCAUUAUCCCAUUCCCGUUAUCCCGAUAUUCCCGCUGUUCCCGUACCCGAGUGUGUCCGGAGGUGGCCGCUGAGCGCGUCGCGGCGCCGGCACUGCCGUUAUCCCGUUAUCCCAUUCCCGUUAUCCCAUUAUCCCAUUCCCAUUAUCCCGAUAUUCCCAUUAUCCCGAUAUUCCCGACGUUCCCGUACCCGAGUGUGUCCGCAGGUGGCCGCUGAGCGCGUCGCGGCGCCGGCACUGCUGUUAUCCCAUUAUCCCAUUCCCGUUAUCCCAUUCCCAAUAUCCCAUUAUCCCAACAUUCCCGAUAUUCCCAUUAUCCCGAUAUUCCCGUUAUCCCGAUAUUCCCGAUGUCAUUCCCGUACCCGAGUGUGUCCGGAGGUGGCC